rnacentral:rRNA from 1 species
CCUACGGGAGGCAGCAGUGGGGAAUUUUGGACAAUGGGCGAAAGCCUGAUCCAGCAAUGCCGCGUGUGGGAAGAAGGCCUUCGGGUUGUAAACCACUUUUGUACGGAACGAAACGGUUCGCUUUAAUACAGUGGGCUAAUGACGGUACCGUAAGAAUAAGCACCGGCUAACUACGUGCCAGCAGCCGCGGUAAUACGUAGGGUGCGAGCGUUAAUCGGAAUUACUGGGCGUAAAGCGUGCGCAGGCGGUCAUAUAAGACAGUUGUGAAAUCCCCGGGCUCAACCUGGGAAUUGCAUCUGUGACUGUAUAGCUAGAGUACGGUAGAGGGGGAUGGAAUUCCGCGUGUAGCAGUGAAAUGCGUAGAUAUGCGGAGGAACACCGAUGGCGAAGGCAAUCCCCUGGACCUGUACUGACGCUCAUGCACGAAAGCGUGGGGAGCAAACAGGAUUAGAUACCCUGGUAGUCCACGCCCUAAACGAUGUCAACUGGUUGUUGGGUGCAUUAGUACUCAGUAACGAAGCUAACGCGUGAAGUUGACCGCCUGGGGAGUACGGCCGCAAGGUUGAAACUCAAGGAAUUGACGGCUGAGACGNGCGAGACGACGACGAGGGAGAGG